rnacentral:rRNA from 1 species
GACGAACGCUGGCGGCGUGCUUAAUACAUGCAAGUCGAACGGAAAGGCCCUGCUUUUGUGGGGUGCUCGAUUGGCGAAGGGGGGAGUAACACGCGAGUAACCCGCCCUUGUCUUUGGGAUAACUUUAGGAAACUGGGGCGAUAACCGCGUAGAAUCUCUUGAACCGCGUGGGGGGUUGGAAAGUUACGGCGUUGGCGGCGGUUGUAGAUGGUUCCGCGCUGCUUCGUCUGGUUGGGGAGGUAGUGGCUUACCACGGCAACGGGGGGUAGCCGGCCUGAGAGGGUGACCGGCCACAUUGGGACUGAGAUACGGCCCAGACUCCUACGGGAGGCAGCAGUGGGGAAUAUUGCACAAUGGGCGGAAGCCUGAUACAGCAACGCCGCGUGCGGGAUGACGGCCUUCGGGUUGUAAACCGCUUUCGCCUGUGACGAAGCGUGAGUGACGGUAAUGGGUAAAGAAGCACCGGCUAACUACGUG